CUUUGUUUUUUAGUUUGCAGAACAGUACCUUACAAGUGGAUCAAUUGAUCAGGUGGAAACCAGCCCAGCAUCUAUAAGAGCAGAAAGACUGGAGAUUGCUGGCCUCCUUAUGGAAAAUCAGGGUAACAUAGAUGAAUACUGCAUAAUAUGCAGCAUGAUGGACCUGCAAUCAGCCAACACCACAAUUAACAUGGUGCAAUGUGAUCACUGCAACAGACGGGCACACACUGAAUGCACUCCGUACUCUGCUGAAGAGUUAUCAACAGACGGGCACACACUGAAUGCACUCCGUACUCUGCUGAAGAGUUAUCAACAGACGGGCACACACUGAAUGCACUCCGUACUCUGCUGAAGAGUUAUCAACAGACGGGCACACACUGAAUGCA